UUUUAAUACUGUUUGUAAAAAUCAUAUUUCAUGUGUUUAUUUGAUUUUAUUUGUAUUAUUUUUUUAUAUUUUUUGUAAGAAUCAGAUUCCAUGUUUAUUUUACUCUGAGUUUUGAGACAAAAACCUACUUUUUCAAACUCCACCUGGACCAUUUGUCCAAUUUUUACCAAAUUCAUUAUGAUUUUUUUUUUUUGGAUAACUCAAGCCGUCUUCGUAUAACUCAAAAUCAGCAUAAAAUGUAAUAUUUGUAAUCCACAUUAAUUAUGGAUAUGGGUUUCCACAUUCACAGAACAACAACAAAAAAAAAGUAUUUUUAUUUAUUUCCUCCAGUUGUAAUUUCAUGAAAAGUCAUGGAAUUUUUUUAAAAUAGAGAAGUCAUGGAAAUGUAUGUAGUAAAUAUAAAUUGUUCUAGUUAAGGUCGGCUCCAAAAUGGCUUGAAAUUCAAACUAAAAUUGCUUUAUAUAUAAAUGUAUGUAAAUAUUAAAAAAAUCAUGAACAUUCAUUAAGUCUAAAAACAUGUGGGAACCCUAAAUGUAGUACUGAUUUCAUUUCAGACUGAUGUUAUAUACCAACCAAGAGUUUUUAAGAUUACAGACUCAGUCAGAUAAAGCAAAAACAGCUGCUUUUCUAAACAAAGUGAUUAUGAAGUUAACUAAAAAGCCAAACGCUCUCUAAAACUUGUGAUUUUUUUUUUUUUUUUUUUUGUGAGUUUGAAAUGAUGUCAGACGAGCUGCAUUAGUCACAGUGAGUAUUAUUUUUCCACCUGAUAUGUUGACUAUGUAAAAUGCCAUUAGUUUGUGUGGUUGGGAUGGUUGGUAGUUCAUCUCUGACUGUUCAAACCUCUGAAUCACCACAAGUGGAGAACAAAGGAGGUACUUCUCAUUGAUUUCAUCUUGCCUUUAGAGUCCCACAUGGUUUUCACACAGGCUGAGGAGCACAAAGCUGUCACAGCCGCCACCGCCAACUUGCCAAGACCGAUCGAUAGAUCAUUGGAAAGGCAAAUUGAUGAGCGGACGGUCGUUUUGCGUGCAACCCACCACGUGUAGCGCUCCGGGAUCGCCAGCAGUGAGAUUCAAGCAGAGUGUGUGAAAACGAGCGAUGGAGAGGCUCCACGGGGCCUGUACGGGGACGGUAGCCCACAGACAGGAGGCACAAGCUGUUCCAGACUGGGAGACAGGUGGCGCAGGGGUUCACACAGCGGGCUGUGGGUGGGCGUCCUCCUCCAGCCCCCGCCCACUCCACGCUGAUGUCACUGACUCACCCGGGAACACGUUCAACGGACUGAUGGGAAAAAGUAAAAAACAACAGAUGAGUGCAUUGGGCGUCUGUCUGAGCGAGUUCAACCAGGACACGUUCACUUCGAUCCGAACACUAGUGCGCUCCCUCCAUAGGCAGCGUUUUAAGAUGUGGUCUUAGCUGUGCGUGUAUCCCAGAAUGCACUGCGAUGAGCUCCGUUAACAAGACGUUUGAAGUUUAUUUACUUCAAAGAUGAAAUUGCAAAAAUAAAAACAAAUAUUCAAAACAAUCAAGAAUACUGUACCAAAAAAUAAUAAAGAUAUAUGCAUAUACAUCCAUCCAUGCACACACAUACAUAUUUAAAUAGAUAUAAAUACACUCACGUACAAUAAAAAUUUUAAUUUGAGACAUGCACAGAAGUGCAAUUUAAAAUAGAAAAAGAACCUAAAUGUUAAAGACAAUAUCGAUGGUUGACAAAAGUGAGUCAAAUGUUGAAAAGUUUUAAUUAUUAUUGUUGGAAAUGUUUCAUGAACACUUAAUUUGACUCUUCGCCGGGAGUUUGAUUGACAGGCGAUCUGACCAAUCACAACGCAGAGUCCGCCAUAUUGUCUGAUAAACAGAUCAGACAGGAGAGUAGAUUAACUUCGGUGGACUUAAACUUGAAAAACUGUUUGUAUUGACAUCUUUCAAUUGAAAUAAAAUACCAUCUGAUGUUCA